rnacentral:rRNA from 1 species
AAUCAACGCUGGCGGCGUGCCUAACACAUGCAAGUCGAACGCGAAAGUCCCGCAAGGGAUUAGUAGAGUGGCAAACGGGUGAGUAACACGUGGGUGACCUGCCUUCGAGCGGGGGAUAACGUCCCGAAAGGGACGCUAAUACCGCAUAACAUCCUGCCUUUUAAGAGGUGGAGAUCAAAGCCGGGGAUUCGCAAGAACCUGGCACUUGAAGAGGGGCCCGCGCCUGAUUAGCUAGUUGGGGGGUAAUGGCCUACCAAGGCAACGAUCAGUAUCCGGCCUGAGAGGGCGGACGGACACACUGGGACUGAGACACGGCCCAGACUCCUACGGGAGGCAGCAGUGGGGAAUUGUUCGCAAUGGGCGCAAGCCUGACGACGCAACGCCGCGU